rnacentral:rRNA from 1 species
GAUGAACGCUAGCUACAGGCUUAACACAUGCAAGUCGAGGGGAAACGGCAUUAAGUGCUUGCACUUUUUGGACGUCGACCGGCGCACGGGUGAGUAACGCGUAUCCAACCUUCCCAUGACUAAGGGAUAACCUGCCGAAAGGCAGACUAAUACCUUGUGGUCUUCACUGACGGCAUCAGAUGUGAAGUAAAGAUUUAUCGGUUAUGGAUGGGGAUGCGUCUGAUUAGUUAGUUGGCGGGGUAACGGCCCACCAAGGCAACGAUCAGUAGGGGUUCUGAGAGGAAGGUCCCCCACAUUGGAACUGAGACACGGUCCAAACUCCUACGGGAGGCAGCAGUGAGGAAUAUUGGUCAAUGGGCGAGAGCCUGAACCAGCCAAGUAGCGUGCAGGACGACGGCCCUAUGGGUUGUAAACUGCUUUUGUAUGGGGAUAAAGUCAAUCACGUGUGAUUGUUUGCAGGUACCAUACGAAUAAGGACCGGCUAAUUCCGUGCCAGCAGCCGCGGUAAUACGGAAGGUCCGGGCGUUAUCCGGAUUUAUUGGGUUUAAAGGGAGCGUAGGCUGGAGAUUAAGUGUGUUGUGAAAUGUAGACGCUCAACGUCUGACUUGCAGCGCAUACUGGUUUCCUUGAGUACGCACAACGUUGGCGGAAUUCGUCGUGUAGCGGUGAAAUGCUUAGAUAUGACGAAGAACUCCGAUUGCGAAGGCAGCUGACGGGAGCGCAACUGACGCUGAAGCUCGAAGGUGCGGGUAUCGAACAGG